rnacentral:rRNA from 1 species
UACGUAGGGCGCAAGCGUUAUCCGGAAUUAUUGGGCGUAAAGAGCUCGUAGGCGGUUUGUCGCGUCUGCCGUUAAAGUCCGGGGCUCAACUCCGGAUCUGCGGUGGGUACGGGUAGACUAGAGUGAUGUAGGGGAGACUGGAAUUCCUGGUGUAGCGGUGAAAUGCGCAGAUAUCAGGAGGAACACCGAUGGCGAAGGCAGGUCUCUGGGCAUUAACUGACGCUGAGGAGCGAAAGCAUGGGGAGCGAACAGG